UACGUAGGGGGCAAGCGUUGUCCGGAAUCAUUGGGCGUAAAGAGCGCGUAGGCGGUCCGGUAAGUCGGUUGUGAAAACUGGGGGCUCAACCCUCAGAGGCCGACCGAUACUGUCGGGCUAGAGUCCGGAAGAGGCGAGUGGAAUUCCUGGUGUAGCGGUGAAAUGCGCAGAUAUCAGGAGGAACACCGAUGGCGAAGGCAGAUCUCUGGGCCGUAACUGACGCUGAGGAGCGAAAGCAUGGGGAGCGAACAGG
rnacentral:rRNA from 1 species